rnacentral:rRNA from 1 species
GAUGAACGCUGGCGGCGUGCCUAAUACAUGCAAGUCGAGCGAACAGACGAGGAGCUUGCUCCUCUGACGUUAGCGGCGGACGGGUGAGUAACACGUGGAUAACCUACCUAUAAGACUGGGAUAACUUCGGGAAACCGGAGCUAAUACCGGAUAACAUGUUGAACCGCAUGGUUCAACAGUGAAAGACGGUCUUGCUGUCACUUAUAGAUGGAUCCGCGCCGCAUUAGCUAGUUGGUAAGGUAACGGCUUACCAAGGCAACGAUGCGUAGCCGACCUGAGAGGGUGAUCGGCCACACUGGAACUGAGACACGGUCCAGACUCCUACGGGAGGCAGCAGUAGGGAAUCUUCCGCAAUGGGCGAAAGCCUGACGGAGCAACGCCGCGUGAGUGAAGAAGGUCUUCGGAUCGUGAAACUCUGUUAUUGGGGAAGAACAAAUGUGUAAGUAACUAUGCACGUCUUGACGGUACCUAAUCAGAAAGCCACGGCUAACUACGUG